UAUUAAAAAUUUCAUUCGAUUCUACUAUUAAAAACUGGCAUGGCUAACAGAAUAACUAAAAAGUUACACAUGGCGUGCCAUAUGUACCUCAUUCUGAUAUACUGGGAUCAGUUUUUAACAGUAGAAAUAGAUAGAAUUUUUAACA
rfam:Gossypium raimondii Chr06_contig_223, whole genome shotgun sequence.